AUGUGGUUUAAUUCGAAGCAACGCGAAGAACCUUACCAGGUCUUGACAUCCGAUGCUAUUUCUAGAGAUAGAAAGUUACUUCGGUACAUCGGUGACAGGUGGUGCAUGGUUGUCGUCAGCUCGUGUCGUGAGAUGUUGGGUUAAGUCCCGCAACGAGCGCAACCCCUAUUGUUAGUUGCCAUCAUUCAGUUGGGCACUCUAGCGAGACUGCCGGUAAUAAACCGGAGGAAGGUGGGAUGACGUCAAAUCAUCAUGCCCCUUAUGACCUGGGCUACACACGUGCUACAAUGGUUGGUACAACGAGUUGCGAGUCGGUGACGGCGAGCUAAUCUCUUAAAGCCAAUCUCAGUUCGGAUUGUAGGCUGCAACUCGCCUACAUGAAGUCGGAAUCGCUAGUAAUCGCGGAUCAGCACGCCGCGGUGAAUACGUUCCCGGGCCUU
rnacentral:rRNA from 1 species